UACGGAGGGGGCUAGCGUUGUUCGGAAUUACUGGGCGUAAAGCGCGCGUAGGCGGACCUGCAAGUCGGGGGUGAAAGCCCGAGGCUCAACCUCGGAACUGCCUUCGAUACUGCGGGUCUCGAGUCCGGGAGAGGUGAGUGGAAUUCCUAGUGUAGAGGUGAAAUUCGUAGAUAUUAGGAAGAACACCGGUGGCGAAGGCGGCGACCUGGUCCGUGACUGACGCUGAGGCGCGAAAGCGUGGGGAGCAAACAGG
rnacentral:rRNA from 1 species